rnacentral:sRNA from 1 species
CGCCCGUCAAACCACGAAAGUUGAUAAUACCCAACGCCGGUGGCCUAACCGCAAGGAGGGAGCCGUCUAAGGUAGGAUCAAUGUUGGGGUUAAGUCGUAACAAGGUAUCCCUACGGGAACGUGGGGAUGGAUCACCUCCUUUCUAAGGAAAACAUGGCUUAAGAAGCUGUGAACAAGAAAUCAAUUGAUUUCACACCAUUCAAUAUUACUCAUCAUAUUCAGUUUUGAAAGACUUAACAAAAGUCUUUCGGAAAAGUAAAAUUUUCCAAAAUAAAAAUAUUCCUAUGAAUCAUUUUUAUUAAGAUUUGUUCUUUGAAAAGUAGAUAAAUUCUGACGUAAGGUUAAGGAAGAGAAGGCACGCAGUGGAUGCCUUGGCACUAAGCACCGAUGAAGGACGCAACUAACGGCGAAACGCCACGGGGAGCAGUAAGUACGCGACGAUCCGUGGGAUUCCGAAUGAGGCAACUCAGCAUGUGGAAGACAUGUUAUCCCAGCAAUGGGAGGGGGACGCAGGGAAUUGAAAUAUCUCAGUACCUGUAGGAAAAGAAAGUAAUAAACGAUUCUAGUAGUAGCGACGAGCGAACCUGGAGGAGCCUGUUUUGCAUAAUAGUUACAAAACCAGAUUAUAGACGAAUGGCAUGGGAAGGCCAAUCGAAGAAGGUGAGAAUCCUGUAGUCGAAAUGAUCUGGACUAGGCAAACGAGAAGUAGGGCGGGACACGAGAAAUCCCGUUUGAAGAACGGAGGACCAUCUCCGAAGGCUAAAUAUGUCUUAGUGACCGAUAGUGAACCA